UACGUAGGGUGCGAGCGUUGUCCGGAGUUAUUGGGCGUAAAGGGCUCGUAGGCGGUCUGUUGCGUCGGGAGUGAAAACUCAGGGCUUAACCCUGAGCCUGCUUCCGAUACGGGCAGACUAGAGGUAUGCAGGGGAGAACGGAAUUCCUGGUGUAGCGGUGAAAUGCGCAGAUAUCAGGAGGAACACCGGUGGCGAAGGCGGGUCUCUGGGCCGAUACUGACGCUGAGGAGCGAAAGCGUGGGGAGCGAACAGG
rnacentral:rRNA from 1 species